CAUUGAAUGUGUUAGAUACUGGAAAAAAAAAAAAAAGUUUUGUAUAAUCUUAUGAGUAGUAGAAGUAUUCAAAAUUUGAUGUUACAAACAAUAUUUUUUUAUAAUUGGUAUUUUAUUGACUUUAUAUGGCUGGCUAAUCACAGAGAGAGAGAGAGAGAUCUGUGUAAAACGGAUCUGAUCGGAUCGCGAGUAAUCGGAUUUUUAAUAAUAGAAUUCAGAUUCAGAUUAAUAGUUAAUCGGAUCGGAUCGAAUUUUGACAGAUCCGACUUGGAUCUGACUCGUUGACAGGCCUAGGUGUGGGUUAUUUCAUUUGGUUAUUGAAAACACAAAAUUGAGGGUAUUUUUUGAAUUGUGGGUUGUAUUUUUCAUUUAGCUGUCAAAAAAAUGUUUGCCAAAUAAACAAUUUUUUCUCUUGUUUUACCAAAAAAUUUGGUAUAUGCAAUAAUUAUUAUUUUCGUUAUAUUUUUUUGCUUGUUAAAUAAAGACAAAUUCAAAAAAAGUAUACAUAAUUUUUAUUUUUUUUUAUGCAAACAACGGAUUUGUUGUUUGCUAUAUAUAUAUAUAUAUUUAUUUUUUUAAAUAAAUGUUUUUAGUUUCAAGUUGUGGACAAUACGAUACACCAACCAACUAUUCCAAUAUUUGUUAGAAUACUUCACAAAUUUAUAAGUUGCACAAGUUUUAUUGUUUGUGAUUACUAUUCUCAACCAGUCCUAGUAACUUUGGCGGUAACCAAGCACUACGAGGCUCAAUUGAUGAAAUUGCUGCCGACAUGGUAAAGGGAACUGAUUCGAACUUGUAUACUACGAAAUACUUCUAUACUAAUGGGACAAUUAUGGAUUUACGAGUUCUUUCAGGGCCAUCAUGGGCAUUGCGAAGAUGUGAUACGCAUGCCGAAGAGCCUUUUUUUAUUGUUGUGCUAAGUUCUUGUCAACUUUAGCCUACCGAUACCUAAAUGCGAGCACAGUUUAGAGGUCAAACAAAAGGUGGCUAUUUUCAUAAAUAUUUUGUAGGGCUUGCCUAGAAGACAUUAAUAUAACGACUUCAGCACUCCGAGGAGACGGUGUCAAGAAAUUUCCAUGAAGUGUUGCAGGCAAUGAUAUCCUUCACAGACGUCCAUAGUAGAAGUUUAGACCCAACAGUUGUGCAACAACGUCAGCACCCAAACACAAUACUUGCCAUUCUAGGUGCAAUGCUUGUAUUUUUUCUUUGACACGUGCUUCACAAAUUUGCAUUUUUGCAACAAUGUGUAACAACACGUGAGAUAGGACUGCAUUGGUAGCACAUAGUGGCCUGGAUAAAAUAGUCGAACGUAGGGCCGUACCGGUGGCCACAAAGAAAUUCCCACACAAAAUAUUAUUGCUGUGUGUGACUUUGAUUUAUACUUCACUUUUGUUUCCUGUAGCUAGGAUCGAAGCAUGCACGACAAUAGAGUUUUACAUUACGUUACAAGUAAUAACGUGCAUCGAUUCCCGCAUCCGGAACCAGAUAAAUACUACUUGGUUAAUAGUGGGUAUAAUAAUUAGAAAAGGUUCUUAGCACCAUGCAAGGGCUACCGGUAUCACUAAUUGGCUUAUCACAACCGACGACCACGGUAUGGCUACGAACGCUUUAAUAGGGCACAUUUGUCGUUGCAUAGUUGCAUCAAGAGAAUGUUUGGGGCGAGGAAAUCAAGGUAGGGCAUCUUGAAGAACAUGAUGAAAUACGAUUUUUGGACAGUACAAGUUUCCUUAGUUGCAACAUCAAUGACCUUACAUAAUUUUAUAAGACGAAAUAGCCUCAUUGAUGAAGUAUUGCAAAAUAUCCAAAAUGCUGAGGACUACGAAACGCUGAACUUUCCCGACCACCCAACAAUGACAAUAAUUGGAGAAAUAAUGAUGCCAGGAGAUGAAGACAUUGAAAUGGCCAAUGUGAGGGCGACUAUUGCAUGUGCGUUGGUAGCGUGACCGCAAGCGUAGUAGCUUUGUUGGUGGGGGCAGCGAGAAGUAUAUUACAAGAUUGUUGUGUGUAUAUGAGAAAUGGAAAUUAUGUUAUUAAAACAUUUUGUUUUUGCUUGUUAAAGAAAAAAAAAAUUCAUGUCAUGAAAUGUUGAGAGUAAAAAAGAUUCAAUUUUUUUUAA